rnacentral:rRNA from 1 species
UACGUAGGGGGCGAGCGUUGUCCGGAAUCAUUGGGCGUAAAGAGCGUGUAGGCGGCCAGAUAAGUCCGCUGUGAAAUCUCGAGGCUCAACUUCGAGCUGUCGGUGGAAACUGUCUGGCUAGAGUCCGGAAGAGGAGAAUGGAAUUCCUGGUGUAGCGGUGAAAUGCGCAGAUAUCAGGAGGAACACCGAUGGCGAAGGCAGGUCUCUGGGCAUUAACUGACGCUGAGGAGCGAAAGCAUGGGGAGCGAACAGG